UUGACCCUACGGGAGGCAGCAGUAGGGAAUUUUCGUCAAUGGGCGCAAGCCUGAACGAGCAAUGCCGCGUGAACGAGGAAGGUCUUCGGAUCGUAAAGUUCUGUUGAAGGGGAAAAAGAGCGGAGAGAGGAAAUGGUCUCCGAUUGAUAUUACCCUUCGAGGAAGUCAGGGCUAACUACGUGCCAGCAGCCGCGGUAAUACGUAGGUGGGGAGAGUUAUCCGGAAUGAUGGGGCGAAAAGGGUGCGUAGGCGGCCUGCUAAGUCUGGAGUGA
rnacentral:rRNA from 1 species